rnacentral:rRNA from 1 species
AAUGAACGCUGGCGGCAGGCCUAACACAUGCAAGUCGAACGGAUCCUUCGGGAUUAGUGGCGGACGGGUGAGUAACGCGUGGGAGCAUACCCAAAGGUACGGAAUAGCCUCGGGAAACUGGGAGUAAUACCGUAUGUGCUCGAAAGAGGAAAGAUUUAUCGCCUUUGGAUUGGCCCGCGUUGGAGUAGGUAGUUGGUGGGGUAAUGGCCUACCAAGCCGACGAUCCAUAGCUGGUUUGAGAGGAUGAUCAGCCACACUGGGACUGAGACACGGCCCAGACUCCUACGGGAGGCAGCAGUGGGGAAUCUUAGACAAUGGGGGAAACCCUGAUCUAGCCAUGCCGCGUGAUCGAUGAAGGCCUUAGGGUUGUAAAGAUCUUUCAGGUGGGAAGAUAAUGACUGUACCACCAGAAGAAGCCCCGGCUAACUCCGUGCCAGCCGCCGCAGUAA